rnacentral:ncRNA from 1 species
UGGUCCUAGCCUUGAAAUCAGUUCUUACCUUAUUUAUACAUGCAAGUUUCCGCACCCCUGUGAGAACGCCCUUAAGUUUCUGCUUGAAACAAGGAGCUGGUAUCAGGCACAAAUAUUAGCCCAAGACACCUAGUCACGCCACACCCACAAGGGAAUUCAGCAGUAAUCAAUAUUGUUUAUAAGCGAUAGCUUGAACCAGUAAUAGUAAAAAGGGCAGGCAAACCUGGUGCCAGCCGCCGCGGUUACACCAUGAGGCCCAAAUUGAUUUCUUUCGGCGUAAAGAGUGAUUUAAGCAAUUUCAAUUCUGUAGUCAAACUAUUAUUAAGUAGUAAUAAGCUUGUAUUUAGGAAGCUCAUAAACGAAAGUUAUUACAUCCACACCAACUUGAAUUCACUAAAGCUAAGUCACAAACUAGGAUUAGACACCCUACUAUGCUUAGCCACAAACUUUUAAUUACACCAAAAACGCCUGGGAACUACGAGCAAAGCUUAAAACCCAAAGGACUUGACGGUGCCCCAUAUCCCCCUAGAGGAGCCUGUCCUAUAAUCGAUAACCCCCGUUUUACCUCACCAUUUUUAGCCCUAUCAGUUUGUAUACCUCCGUCGUCAGCUUACCACAUGAGUGAACAACAGUAAGUAAAAUGUCCCCUCGUCUAUACGUCAGGUCAAGGUGCAACUUAUAAAGUGGAAAGAGAUGGGCUACACUCUCUAAUUUAGAUCAAACGAAAAACUACCUGAAAACUAGUUUAAAGGUGGAUUUAGCAGUAAAAAAGGACUAGAGUGCCUUAUUUAACCCGGCCCUGGAGUGUGUACACACCGCCCGUCACCCUCUUCGUAACUAUAAAUUAGUACAUAACAAAAUAAUGUUCCGUAGAAGAGGCAAGUCGUAACAUGGUAAGUAUACCGGAAGGUGUGCUUGGAAA